rnacentral:lncRNA from 1 species
GAGCUGAUCAAGAUAUUGUAGCUCUGAUACCAAAUGAAAUUUUAAGAAAGGCUUAUUUUAUUAUCACACACACAACUAACCCUCAAUAUAUAAUAUAACCUAAGACUAAAUAAGGAAAACUAAAUAAGUAAAUAUGCAAAAUAUCAAUAGGCAACAUGACCUAAUUUAAAUUCCUAAUUUGUAAUCUCCUAAUUUAUUAAUUAGGAAGUAUCAUUCUAAAUAUCUAUUUUCACAACACUCCCCCAAGCUAGGCGAAGAUAUCGAUCUCUCCAGCUUGACAACAGACAUUGCAGCAAUAAGGGGCCGAUGGCACUGCCCAGAGGGGCCACCAUCUAACCAAUGUGAAAAAUUCAACACGCUCCCGCACGUGUGCACAACCCCAAACAACGCGAAUUACGGAUAUAGGUACGGUUAGAACAACAUGGCUAUAUGAAAAAAUUCAACCCGCCCCCGCAACGUGAAAACGUGGAGCACAGACAAUGGCUGUGCUGUCGACUGUCUGUGAAUGAGGCUGUGGCUGCGCGCGGGUGACUUUCUAACGUCAAGGGAAACUAGUUAAGCCUCGGACAUAUUUCGGCGACCAGCAGAGCCGCCGCCGCGGUCGGAGGCCUAACCAAGAGUAAAUGUAGCCUGAUACCAAAUAAAUUUAGAAAGGCUAAUUUUAUAAUCACACCACACAUCCCCUUCAAUAUAAAUAUAACCAGACUAAAUAAGGAAAAAUAAAUAAGUAGAAUAAUGAACAAUCAAUAUGGGCAACAUGAACCCUAUUAAAAUUCCCCUAAUUUUGGGGGAAUCUUCCUAUUUUAAUUAUGAAGUGAAUCAUUCUAAAGAUAUUCUAUUUCAUUCAACACUUCCCCCUCAAGCGGCGGGAAGAUAUCUACGAGCUACAGCUUGACACAGACGAUUGCAGCAAUAAGGGGCCGAUGGACUGGCACAUAGGUGCCCCAUCUAACCAAUGUUAAAAAAUUCAACAACGCUCCCGCACGUGUGGCCAUGCCAAACCCGCGAAUUACGGAUAUAAUAGGGUAACGUGGAACAAAUAUGGCUUAUAUGAAAAAUCAACACGCCCCCGACGUGUGGCACCGCCAAACAACGCGGAUUAACAACAUGGAACGUGAGACAAGACAUGGCUGUGCUGCGACUGUCUGGGACAUGAGGCUGUGGCUGUGUGCGGGUGCUUUCUUUUUCUACGCAAGGGGAAAUGCUUAGGUUCAGGCUCUGACAAUAUUUCGGCGACAGCAGACCGCUCCGGCGGCGAAAGCUGAAGAGGCUGACCAAGAGUAAAUGUGGCUCUGAUACAAGAAAAUUUAGAAUGACUUAAAUUUUAUUAUCACACACCACCAUCAAUAUAUAAUAUAAACCUAAACGAAAUAAGGAAAACUAAUAUAAAAUACUGAAAAAAUCAUAUGGUCCAGCAUGACCUAUUAAUAAAUUCCGAAAUUUGGGAUCUUUCCUAAUUUAAUUAGAGUGAAUCAUCCUAAUUUCUAAUUUCAUCAACAUUAUGUAUCCUUAUGUUUUGCUCCUUCCUCUUUUUGUGUUCUUGAACUGAUUAAUUUUCCGGUUAUUCUUUGUUGACGCUUCUAAGACCUAUAGAUUUGCCAUCACUUACCUCCAUCCCCCAACUCAAUUAACGUAAUUACAUGAAUGGGUUAUUCAAAAGGAAAGUCGCUACUUAGCCCCUACUACAGUACAAUUGAAUAUUAUAUAUAUUAUUUUUGAUGAUUUUGUAUGUUGAUUGAAGACGGCCAGAAGCCUCACCAGCAGAGUAUGCAAGAGCCAAUAAGGAGCUGCGAAACCUCAGGGGUUCAAUGGAUCUUAUAAAUGAAUUGAGGGCUAAACAGAAGGUAUACUUACUGGGCCUUCAAGAUCAUCUUUUAUUCUCAACACUGUUCGGUUUGGACCUUAUUCAGAGGAUAUGAUGUGUUUUCCAGAGCUUCCAGUAUCAUGUUUGUCCUUCCUGCUUGAGAUUCAAAUAAAGGAAAACUUUAGCUAGGAUUGCCCUUCCAUCCCCAUUUAAGCAUCCAGACACCAAGAAUUCUACUUUAAAAAAUAAAUGAACAUAUAUUUUAUAAUUAAUGAAAUAGGAUUGUGCGCCUUGAUUUGAAUAUUUUAAUUUCUAAAACCUGUCAAAAAUAUGUCAAUUGGUGGUUUAUAACUAUAUAUCCACUUCAUAUGAUUUCUAUUUUCCUUCAUGGUUUUUGGAAUGCAUGCUUCCUUGAGAGAGAGAGAGAGAGAGAGAGAGAGAGCGUCGGGUUAAUGGUGGGUUGGGUCAGGUCCUGUUAUAUAUUCUUUUUUCCCAUGCCCCCCUUUUACACUCAUCCUCUAGGGUUUCGUCGUCCAUUAUCCUCUUACUUCCUCUUGAUUUUUUGUUCUAGCACUCUUUUAGUUUUAGCGCCUAAUUUGACUACGAACAUGAAAUUAUCAUGACUACCAUGCCACCACUCAUAAUAAUCAGCUUGAAGCUUGCCUGCUAUUUUAUGUCUUUGCAUAUAAUAAUAAU